UUUUUUUUUUUUUUUUUAGUAGAGAUGAGGACUCACUAUGUUGCACAGACUGGUCCUGAACUCCUGAGCUCAAGUGAUCUGUCCAUGUCAGCCUCCCAAAGUGCUGGGAUUACAGGCUAAUUAGGGUUUCUAUUUCUUUUCUUACAACAGGAAAACAUUUCACUAGGGAGUCUCUAAAGUCAUUUCUAGCCUUAAGUUUGUGUGAUUUAGUGAUGAGCAGUAAUCUCAGAGAAGAUGCUAUGUGGAAGGGAUAGCUGGUUGCAGCUGGGUCACUGAAAAUCACCAAGUUCAUACCCUUAGUAAAAUUAUUUUACAUAUUGAUAAGUCACAACUCUCUCAACCUCACACCCUACAUCCACUCCCCCCAUCAAUUUCCACACAUGCUUUUGGGUUAUGGAAUAUCAGCAGGCAGUGAAAACCACCACAAACAACAACAACAACACACACACUCACACACUCUGAACCUGAAAACCAAAACUUCUUGGGAUUUUCAGGUCAUGGUCCCAGCUACCCAGCUUCCUGGGAAAUAAAGUAGCAAGUGUUAAUACCUCAUUUUUACCUAUAAACAGGUACAGAAAAAAAUGAAAAUUGUUCCUUAAGCAUCAAUUUAUGAGUUUUUGACAAUGCUGGGGUAUAAAGCUAUUAUUUCUGGGUUCUGCUUAAGACACUCCCCUUUGUCCUCACUACCACUUGGAUAUCUAUAGUUCAGACAAUACCAAAUAUUCCUCUUUCCACCUAGAGGGCUCACAAUCUGCAGUUAAGCAAGAACAAGAGCAAGCCAAAGCAAGUCUAUAGCAUCACAGAUGGGUCAUCCAACUCAAUCACAGAUAUUCUCCUCAUCUCCAGCAAAGAAACCUGCUGUCUCUCUAAUGCACUGACAUCAUUUCCCUAGGGCAAGGUCUGAUUUCUCUGGUAUAUUAUUCAUAGAAAUAUUAUACAUUUUGGUAAAUGCAAAUAGAGGAUAAACUCAGUCAAAAACAAUUCACAGGUUAGCUUGUUUAAAAGAGAUGGGAGUGAGAAAUCACUUUUUCCUGUAUUUGUUUUCCCAAGGUUUCUCACUCCUCUGCAGAAUGAGAUUCCGGGUUUAGAGACAUUAAGAAACCAGUAACCACGGGACCCGUUGCCUGGAAACGGCCUGAUUACAACCAACUCACUAGGCUACAAGGAAAUUCUACCUGAUCCUUUAGGACCAUUUGUCAAGCCUCAUUAUGAUGAUAAAGAAAAUUUAUACUUUCGUAAAGCCUUCGAAAAUUAUUGCCAUGAGAUUCUGAAAAAUCUCGGCAUCUGCUUUGGGGAAGAAAUGGGAAAUUAACAUGAGCAUCCAGUGUCAAAAAUUGACAGCCUAGACAAAAUAAAGAAAAAUUAGUUCAGCAUCAUGCACAGAAUUCAGAAAUCAAAAAUCCAAAUCCAAUGCUGAACAAAUAAUUUCUGGGAAUUGUACUGUCUGGGGUUAGAAGCCAAGGCAGCCGGAAAAUCACUAAUAAAGGGCAUUUGCAUUCUGCAGCAGUACAACUUCACUUGUGCUUCCCUGUACAUCUAAGAAGAACUUUCAAUCCAGUGCUGCCAUUAACAGCUGCUUUGAAACACACACCAGUU
ensembl:lncRNA